GCAGUAGCCGCGGGAAUACGUAGGGCGCAAGCGUUAUCCGGAAUUAUUGGGCGUAAAGAGCUCGUAGGCGGUUUGUCGCGUCUGCCGUGAAAGUCCGGGGCUCAACCCCGGAUCUGCGGUGGGUACGGGCAGACUAGAGUGAUGUAGGGGAGACUGGAAUUCCUGGUGUAGCGGUGAAAUGCGCAGAUAUCAGGAGGAACACCGAUGGCGAAGGCAGGUCUCUGGGCAUUAACUGACGCUGAGGAGCGAAAGCAUGGGGAGCGAACGGGAUUAGAUACCCGUGUAGUCCCUGUCUCUUAUAC
rnacentral:rRNA from 1 species